rnacentral:misc_RNA from 1 species
GACGACGACAACAACAGACCCUUUUCCAUUAUAACUCCUCUUCCGCCAUCAAUAUACACCUGGGGUUUAUCUACAGAUACAAAAGAUGUGUGCUUUUUUCCUCAGAAAUGGUUCUAAAACCCACCAUUCAUUGCAACAUCUAUGGAAAAGAAGUCCCUCCGUUGAAUCUUGGAAUAUCAAGAACCAUAUUGUUCAUCACCAACUUCAACAUUCUAAAG